AUGAGCAGUGGUGCUGAGGUCUCCCCUCCCCCAGGAUCAGGUGUACUGGGGACUCCCCUCCCCCAGGGAGCAGGGGUGCUGAAGUCUCCACUCCCCCAGGUGAGCAGGGUUGCUGAGGUCUCCCCUUCUCCCCAGGUGAGCAAGGGUCCUGAGGUCUCCCCCCCAGGUGAGCAGGGGUCCUGAGGUCUCCCCUCCCCCAGAUGAGCAGGUGUACUGAGGACUCUCCCCCACCCCCCAGGGAGCAGGUGCACUGAGGACUCGCUACACCCCCAGGGGUCUCAUCCCAGGAAGGUUUAUGGCCCUACAGGAAGGUGGCGAGCUGGUGCCCCGAUGCAUGUGCACUAACAACCCUUCUCUUCCGUCCCUGCUCUGGAAGCCCGGGUGCUGCCGCGCCAUCUCAGCCACUUUGGUCAGCAGGCGGUUGGGCCGCAAGUUCCUUUGCGG